ensembl:misc_RNA 7SK 7SK RNA
GGAUGUGAGCACAGUGUGGUUGUGACAUGUGUCAGUCCAACUGAUGCCAAGGUUGAGCAAAAUGAUCUGGCUAGUUAGGCAGAUCUCUCUUUCCUCCCUCAGCACUCUAUAUGCACCCUUCCCCGAACUGCAAACUCAGUGGAAGAGGACCACCUUUCUAGCAUUGGCAGGUCUUCUAUCUAGGGUAUACAAAUAGCUGCAACUCUCCUUUUAGAACUUCUAAAUAAACUCUCUGUAUGGACCCAGGUCCCUUAGUAGUUCCAUCAUCCAAAACAGUUUAUACAGUAGUUAUGUGCUUCAUC